UACGGAGGAUCCAAGCGUUAUCCGGAUUCAUUGGGUUUAAAGGGUGCGUAGGUGGAAUAGUAAGUCAGUGGUGAAAGCCUGUUGCUUAACAACAGAACUGCCAUUGAUACUGCUAAUCUUGAGUACAUCUGAAGUGGGCGGAAUGUGUCAUGUAGCGGUGAAAUGCUUAGAUAUGACACAGAACACCGAUUGCGAAGGCAGCUCACUAAACUGUAACUGACACUGAGGCACGAAAGCGUGGGGAUCAAACAGG
rnacentral:rRNA from 2 species